CCUACGGGUGGCAGCAGUGAGGAAUAUUGGUCAAUGGACGCACGUCUGAACCAGCCAUGCCGCGUGCAGGAAGACGGCUCUAUGAGUUGUAAACUGCUUUUGUACGAGGGUAAACGCAGAUACGCGUAUCUGUCUGAAAUUAUCGUACGAAUAAGGAUCGGCUAACUCCGUGCCCGCAGCCGCGGUAAUACGGAGGAUUCAAGCGUUAUCCGGAUUUAUUGGGUUUAAAGGGUGCGUAGGAGGUCGGAUAAGUUAGAGGUGAAAUCCCGAGGCUUAACUUCGGAAUUGCCUCUGAUACUGUUCGGCUUGAGAGUAGUUGCGGUAGGCGGAAUGUAUGGUGUAGCGGUGAAAUGCUUAGAGAUCAUACAGAACACCGAUUGCGAAGGCAGCUUACCAAGCUACUUCUGACGUUGAGGCACGAAAGCGUGGGGAGCAAACAGGAUUAGAUACCCGGGUAGUC
rnacentral:rRNA from 1 species